rnacentral:rRNA from 1 species
AAAUGAAUUGACGGGGGCCCGCACAAGCGGAGGAACAUGUGGUUUAAUUCGAUGAUACGCGAGGAACCUUACCCGGGAUUGAAAUGUACCUGACGGACGGUGAGAGCCGUCUUCCAGCAAUGGCAGGUAUGUAGGUGCUGCAUGGUUGUCGUCAGCUCGUGCCGUGAGGUGUCGGCUUAAGUGCCAUAACGAGCGCAACCCUGACUGUCAGUUGCUAACAGGCAAUGCUGAGGACUCUGGCGGGACUGCCGGCGUAAGCUGUGAGGAAGGUUGGGAUGACGUCAAAUCAGCACGGCCCUUACAUCCGGGGCGACACACGUGUUACAAUGGGGAGGACAAAGGGUUGCUACCUGGUGACAGGAUGCCAAUCUCCAAACCUUCUCUCAGUUCGGAUCGGAGUCUGCAACCCGACUCCGUGAAGCUGGAUUCGCUAGUAAUCGCGCAUCAGCCAUGGCGCGGUGAAUACGUUCCCGGGCCUUGUACACACCGCCCGU